CCCCAACAUUCAAAUGAUGAACUGGAACUCUUUUCAUAGUUAGACGUCCUAUAUUGGUUGUAUUUGCUCUGUUAGGAAGACAAGUUAUCGUUCUCCCUCUCAGGUCAGCUUCCAAUUUCACUUUCAAAGUUGAAAAUGCUGUAUAUAUCACUACAUAUUGCCGCUGUGCUACAUGAGACAGCCAAUAGUAUCAUCACCCAUGAUUUUAUU
rnacentral:misc_RNA from 1 species